GGGACAUGGUCAGACGGACUCUGUUCCAUGUGAGGCUUCUCACUGAUUACAUUUAACAGAACUGUUUUAAUGAAGACGGGUGAGCAUCUGUCGCUCCAUAAACGAUCUUUGCAGUGCGACGUAAUGUCGUCAGACCUUCGAACAGACUCAACGUACAGUACAUAGGCCCGUAUCUCAGGAGAGCAAUGGUCAAUCCGGGUGAUUGACACGUCUAUAGAACCGUCAGCGCCUCCCACGGACACCAUUCGCUAUCUGUGAGGGGGCGAACCCACUGUGAGGCCUUUUUUCCCCACCGCCAUUUGACAUGCGACUUCCGCAUGUGUGGUCGAAGUAGGACGGACCAGGCGGAUUAAUAUCUUGAAGUGACAAGCGGUCUUUGUGCUACGUUAACGAAAGCGGAUUCAUGGAUCAACACAUAACAUUUCCUGCAAAUACUUCGACGCCGCUGAAAAGAGCACAGAGUCGACGCAGCGGCCGGGUGAAUUUGAUGAUGAGGACGUCAUACAUCACUGGAGCGGAUCCAAAGACCAAACUUUCAACCACUGACAGAACAUCUGUGACGAUCGCAGGACGUCACCCCGUCAACUGGAUGUGCUGCAGUUCUCUCAAAGAUGCACACGUUGGUGCUCGGACAGGGAUCCAGGUUGUUUUAAGGCUUCCAGCUUCAGAGGCGAAGCUCCAUCUGAUCAAUAAUGGAUGCUGCUGUCUCCUACACUGCUGGAGAAGGGUCGGCACAUUAGGUAAUGCAGGGGCUACAUUUAACUGGAUGGGCUUGUUAAUGCGUCCCGCUGGGGAAACACCCUCCCUACGCCAUCCCCUCUCCCCCUUCUCUCUCUCACACACACACACACACACACACACACAGAAAUACACUUGCACACGCUAA
rnacentral:lncRNA from 1 species